UGGGGAAUAUUGGACAAUGGGCGAAAGCCUGAUCCAGCAAUGCCGCGUGAGUGAUGAAGGCCUUAGGGUUGUAAAGCUCUUUUACCAGGGAUGAUAAUGACAGUACCUGGAGAAUAAGCUCCGGCUAACUCCGUGCCAGCAGCCGCGGUAAUACGGAGGGAGCUAGCGUUGUUCGGAAUUACUGGGCGUAAAGCGCACGUAGGCGGCCAUUCAAGUCAGAGGUGAAAGCCCGGGGCUCAACCCCGGAACUGCCUUUGAAACUAGAUGGCUUGAAUCUUGGAGAGGCGAGUGGAAUUCCGAGUGUAGAGGUGAAAUUCGUAGAUAUUCGGAAGAACACCAGUGGCGAAGGCGACUCGCUGGACAAGUAUUGACGCUGAGGUGCGAAAAGCGUGGGGAGCAAAACAGGAUUAGAUACCCUGGUAGUCCACGCCAUAAACGAUGAUAACUAGCUGUCCGGGUUCAUGGAACUUGGGUGGCGCAGCUAACGCAUUAAGCUAUCCGCCUGGGGAGUACGGUCGCAAGAUUAAAACUCAAAGGAAUUGACGGGGUCAUAGCUGUUUCCU
rnacentral:rRNA from 1 species